UGCGGCUGGAUCACCUCCUUUCUAAGGAAGCUGUGGAAUUGGUAAGACGAUCGGCUCAUGUCUUCGGAUGUGCCCGAUAUGAACCUUCCCGUGCUUUUUAGAACAUAGAUGGCACCAGUCAGGUGACCAUCGAAACGCAAUACGCCACGGAAAUGCCUUAGGCAUUCGGAUGGUAUGGCGAGCCUCGCCGUCCACGUUUCUCUUUCUUCAAGAAGACAAAGAACCGCGUCGACCGGUUCCCGAAUGGGCCCGUAGCUCAGUUGGUUAGAGCACACGCUUGAUAAGCGUGGGGUCGGAAGUUCAAGUCUUCCCGGGCCCACCAUUUGCAUUUGCGAAUGAGGGUUGGGAAUGAUGGAAUGGCAGGCGAUGCGGAUUGUUGCCGAACCCUGGUUUAAGAUCGGGGCGAUCGAGCUGAUGGGGCUGUAGCUCAGCUGGGAGAGCACCUGCUUUGCAAGCAGGGGGUCAGCGGUUCGAUCCCGCUCAGCUCCACCAAAUCGAUUGGUGUCGAGACUGACGGUAAUUGUCUUCUGAAGAAAUAAAGGGUUUGCAUCGGCUUUGAGCCUGAUGCCUGUUCUGCAUACAUUGUGAAGAGAAGAUUGAUCUGGAGGCUUCCAGGUGUUUUGGGCAACCGUAAGGUUGUUUGAAGCGUCCGAGCCCGGACCUUAUGAUAUCGUGGAUGGCCUAGCCGGCUGGAAACGAAGGAGGGGACCGAGGUAGGAAGGAAGCUUGUCGCUCUGGAUUGUCAUUGUUGGUCCUCUUUGAGGACUUCUGAUGAACAAUCGGAUACGUUGCCURCCCGCCGCGGUAUCGGAUCCAAUCUCGAGAAGCUGGUCUUAAGAUAGACUGCAAGCGAGCUGCUCGGCGUAGCUCCAAUAAAGCAAGUCUAUCGAACACGUCGAUGGCAUCUGAUUGGCGCGAUUGUAAAAGGUAAUCGCGCUUUGGACUGACCGUAUGGUCAGAUUUGGCACCCCUUUGAGCGCAAGCGAGAAGGAAAGGUUUGCCAAAUCCAAUAAGGAUGAGCAUUGGCAAUGAGAACGAUCAAGUGUCGUAAGGGUAUUUAGU
rnacentral:tRNA from 1 species